GGGUCUGACUGUCAUUUCCGGCUUGCCAGGGCUCGCUCGGCCAGGCCAGCAGUUACGCUCCUCUCCUGUCCCGGGUGUGAAGCGUGUGUGCGCAUACGGGCUAGUGGGUGCAAGUGUAUGAGUGUAUGUAAGUGAGCACGUGUGCGUGUGUGUGUGAGCACACAUGUGCGCGUGCCUGUGCGAGCGGGCUGCGUGUGUCUGUGUGCGCCUGCCCUGCAGGGGGAAUGCGAGUGUUUGUUGCUUGGCUUCAGCCCAGAAGGGAAACAGAUAAUGAGGUGAACGGAAGUGAACUGGAGGGAGUCUGGGCUUCAGCACUAAUUAGUAGCUAUCAGUUUUGACAAGAGGACGUACACUAGUCGUAAAUGAGCAGAGAAGGGAAAACCCAGGGACUGGGGCUGGGCAGGAGGUUGGGAGGCCACCAGCAGCCCCCGGGGCAGGAAAGGCAUCUCAGGAGCCCGGUGCGGGGUCAGGCAGGCGGCUCCUUCCUGCCCUUGGGCGCAGGCGCUCCUCUUCUUCCUGUGGAGGGCUGGAGGCAGAACGGCAGAGCAGAAGCACAGACGACUUGGUGGACUGCUGAGAAGGAGCGGCUCCCUGAUUUCCAGAUAAGAUUUCACAAAAGCAAUUCUGAAGUCUUACCCGGUCAAGGACUUCCUGCAUGAGGUAUGUUUUUACUUCCAGCCAACACGGUCUCUCUCCUGGUUACAGAGAAGACACUCUGUGUGUAAAAGCUGGGGCUGUAUUUGGCUUCAGAUUCACUAAUGGACUUUGUUCUCUCCUGGAACCUGGAAUCUACGCAGACCUGUAGGGGUUCAGAAUGCGCCUCCCCCGAAUGUGUCACUUUUAUGUGAGGAUUAUUCUGAGCUAAAGGCAGUCAAGACCCUGCUGGCUCAGGAGGAACCACUGCCCCUCCCUCAGCUACCCAGAAGAAUUUAGACCGGAGAAUUUCCCCAGAAAAGAGUUAUUACCAGAGACAAGCUUACCUCCGUGGCCACAUCUACGGCAGAGCACACACCUUAGCACCAAGCACUUGCUCUUCUUGUUGGAAGGUUUUUCUCUCUUUAACAGACUCAAUGCUUUAUUUUUUUCAUACUUUUAGUUUUUACUUACUUACCUUUUAAUGGAGGUACUGGGGAUUGAACCCUGGGCCUGGUGCACACUAGGCACACGCUCACCUCUGGGCAUGCUCAGUGCCUCGAAUUGGCUUCCUCAGAGCCCACUGUAGCUUCCUGGGAUUCAUACACUGUCCCGAGGAAAACAAAAUAGAGGUGUCUUAAGAGAAGGAGGGUGUACUUCCCCAGUCUGUGAGAACCAUGUGCUUCCUUCGGUAAAAUCGAUCCUCCCCUCUACUUUGCCGGAGCAGGAAGCCUGAGUGGGCGUGAGGGGCUGCUGGAAAUAGGCCUCUCGCCAGCCCCCUCAGGGCUAUUCAGAGGGCGGCGCACUGAAGGGCGCGCGCUGACGGCCUUCACCCUUUCCCUCCCUGCUCCUCGGUGUCCUCUGUGCUCCCUUCCCGCUUCCUCCCCACAAGGGAACCAGCUCUCAGCAUCAGAUCCUCCUGUCUUGACAUCGUUUCCUCCUGGUCACAACCUGAGUUCUCCAAUCUGGUUUUUAGUCAUUGGCCCAGAUACUUGGCCUGGUAACUUGGGUUUCAGUUAACACCAGACGAAGUAAACUCAGUUCCCCUUCUGUCCUCGUCCAAAAGUUGGCCUCAAACUACUUCAGAAAAAUCUCUGCCUCCUCCCUUGGCCAGUCUAAGGUAGGCCUGCUCCUUCAGUGCGAGGUUCACACUGGCUUUGUGAAGGGCGUCACAGCACACAGCUGUGAGCGUUGUCAGGGAAGCGUUUGACAAGAAGGACCAUGUAUCCAAAAUUUGCCCUCAGCACGUGGGACAGUUUGGGGCAUCUCCAGGUGCUUUCAGGAGUUCUUUACCUGAAUUUAUAGAGGCAAUGAAAAGAUUUGUUGAGAAUGACUAACCCCUACGUGCUGAAUGAGAACUGUUUCCAGUUCACUAAACAGUUAAUUACAUCAGUUAUCAUUUAAAUAUGGUAUCAACACAAUCAGCUUCAAGCGUGUGUUGUAACUUAAAACGCCUCCAUCCUGGGAAUUAAUUACAGCCUUAGUCAAAUCUGGCUCAAGAAAUGACUAUCCAAACUCAAAAAAGACUUCGUUCCCAACUCCUUCCCCAUCAUCCUCACUCUGUGCCAUUCCCCAGCUUCUCCGAGGUCCUCUGCCAUGUUCCACUGGGGUGGGUCCUCCUGGAUGCAGACUGCAGUGCUGUGGUCAUUGGUUCCACCACCUCAAGAGCUCACCGCGCUGACAGGCAUGUCCAGAGCCUGAGGGCUGGAGGCCAAAGAAGACAGGGUGGAGCGCUGCUGAGCUAACGGAGCAGCUGUGUCACCCUUCUGCUGUCUCUCCUUGGACCAGGAGUGCGCACAGCUGCCUUGCCUGGGGUUACGGAAGCUCGUGGGGCAGGGCUCAGGACUGUGGGCAUAACAGCGCCUGCCCGUGGGGCCGAGCCCCCUUCCAUCACCGAAGCAAAACCACAGCCAUCCUGCCCCCACCAUUCUGCCCAGUCCCUCACCUCCUCUUAGGCUGCCCCGACUCUCUCCGCUUGCUUUCUGCCGGAGGAAGAAGGGAUUUCUGUGGGGAUGCGCAGAGGAGUCCUGAGCUUUCCAGCCACGCUGCUCCGUCCUUCCUUGCCCCAGGCUCCAGCGGAUUGCAGAGAGUUCUCAGCUCCCGGCAGGGUGGCGGUUUCCGGUGGGGAGCGGCCGCUGCUUCUUUCCGUCCUGCUCUCUGCAGAAGGUGGCUCGCUGCUCUCUGCAGAAGGUGGCUCGCUGCUCUCUGCGGGCUGGCAGCUCCCACUGAGGUCUGCGUGGGCUCUGUCCCUGUAGGCUGCAGGGAUGAGCGUGGUUGGGAAGUCCUUGGCUUCUUGGUAGUGAGAAGAUUUCAGACUGAGUAUAAGCUGAAACAGGUUUUCCCCUCCGAGCUGAGGCCUGUGCCUCCUGAGUCGCAGUAACAACGCCCCCCCAGUGGAUCUGGGUCGGGCUGUUUAACAGCUUCAGACCCGCUGGGGAGGUGGGGCUCUGGGAGAGUGGGAGGGGGUGCUUUCUGUGACUCCCGCCUGCUUCUGUAACCUUGACAGCGCAGCCCUGGUUGGGCCCAGCGCCUCCUGUGUCCUCUCCAAGUUCCCUCUUCCUUAUAAAACCCAGCUGCCUGUUGGGGCUUCUCUCCCCGUGUUUACGGCUGGUAACUGACUUUCAGCAUUUCCCAGAUUCCUGUCUCCUCCUUCAUUUAGUGAGGAAAUGAUUGCCUUUCCUGUUUUCCAUUCACUUCACGUAUUAGCUGCCAUGUUGUGCUGAUUAAUGGCCCCUUAAAUACGCAGGUUAUGCCCUUGCAGUUCAAGGGAGCGUUUGCCCAAAGCUAGGCAAGUCUCACAUCACAGCCAAGUUCAAGUGCCUGGGACCGGGGUGGACACCUUCCCGCUCAGUCUCAUGGCUAAUGUCUUAAACCUUUUAGUUGUCGAUGUCAAAUCUAGGUUUCUAAAAGCCUUCUGUUAUUUAAUUCCUGCCAGGAAUUAAUUAGUUUCCUUACAGACUGCCUGCCAGGACCACCCUGAAUGGUGACAGGUGGGGGAAGGGUGUGGGGCUGUGCCGAGGUGUUCUGUCCCUAAGACUUGAGCUACACCAGGUUACAGAGGCUGCCUGGUGAAGUCUGAAAGACGGCAGGCCAAUAACGAAAAGAUUAUUUUUGUGACCUGUGAGGCUGGUGAAGUCGAGCAGAAGAGAACCUGGGGAGAUGAAGAGAGCAGCUGAGGGUCGAGGGUCAGACUGAGUGAAGGACAGGUGGGCUGAGGGCCAGCUGAGGCUCAUCCAGCCACACCUGCCCCUUAUCACAUUUCGGGGUGCUUCACUGGAGGGGGGACAUGUUCUUAAAUGACUGCUGUUAGUCAUCUGUCGGGCUCAGCCCCAAGGUGCGCUAGGAUUUCUCAAGAGGAGGGGCUUACUGGUGGCCAUCUGUUGGAAGCAGGUGUGUAGAGCGACGCUGGAGGACCGUUUUUGAAGCUGCCUGGCACGGGGGGCAGACUGUCCUUGGGAGAAAGGGGGAGAAGAGCACGGCUCCUGGAGGCAGAUGGCCUGAAUUCAAGUCCCAGAAGCACUGCCUGGCUGUGUGAUCCUGGACGAGGAUCCUCUGUGCACCUCAGCUUCCUUAUGUAUGAAUCGAGGUUAAUAAUUUGGGAGAGUCCUUUGGCAGAUCUGUCCUCAGAGCUUAGUGGCCUGGCCACUGGACUGGGGUCUAGGGUCAGGGGUCUUCUUAUGAGAUCGAUUGGCAAGGGUGUGAGGGAAUGGCAGGCCCCCACCUAGGUCAUUCAGAAAAGGGGGCCCUGGGGACACCAGGCAGCACAGGAGCCCCCUGGGGGCACUGGAUCCUGGCUGAGGUUAGCAGCAGACAGGAGUCUGUCAGCUCUCAGGUGUCGUGCUAAGGCCCUGGGGCCAGCAAGGACACUGGACUACACAAAGUGAGUUAGGCCCUGCCUGCUUCUCAGGCCUGGCAUUACCUCUACGGCUUCAUGGAAGGCAGACCCAGGCUCCACUCUGGAGUUGCCAAGCUGGGCACAUCUGGAGGUUUGGGUGGGAGUCUGGUGAGCUUUACUGGAUGACCACAGGCUCUGACGGAGGAGUUAGAGUCAGCAGAACUGGGAGAGAUGAGGUGGAGCUCACACUGGAAUCAGCCUGCAAGCUCUCACAUCUCUGGGGGUUGAUUCUGACUGUAUUGGUUUGCUAGGGCUGCUGUCACAAAGCCCCACAAACGGGGUGACUCACACAACAGAAAUUUGUUGUCGCGCGGUCCUGGAGGCCGGAAGUCCGCGGUGAGGCCUGGAGGAGGCUCUGUCCUCGGUGCUCACAGGCUUGGGACGCACCUGCCACCUCAGCGUACCCUCCCCCAUCGGCUUCCAAGUCCACGUAGCGCCCUCUCUGUGGUGUGUCUGCUUUUGGGUCCAAAGUUUUCCUUUUUAUUGGUGACCAUGACAACAUUGUCAUGGAGCAUAAACUCACUUUAACUUGAUUCCCUCUGUAAAGUCCCUGUUUCCAGGAAAGAUUGCAUUCUGAGGCACUGGGGUCAGGGCUGCAACACGUGUUCUGAGGGACGCAAUCCAGCCCGGAACCCCGACCACACGGGGACUGGCUGGAGACAGAGGUGGGGCAGGAGCCAUCGGCGGGUUCAGGAUUGCUGAGGAAGGACCUCUCGGCUCCUCCUGACAUGUCUCCAGACUCUUCAAACAGCACUGGGACAUUACAACUCCCAGGUGUAAUCAGGAGGCCCGUCGUGAGAAAGCAGCAGCUUUAAAAACGGAAUUCUGCUAACACAAGGUGGGGGGGGGGGUCCCAGAGAAAGGAACUAGCAUGCCUACGAAGAGAGCCCUUCGGGGAGUUCUUGCCUUGAUGGACCCCAGGCGGCUGAACCCCGCGGGAGGGACGAGCACGUAGCAGAACGUGCAGAAGGAAGCUGAGAGUGAGACGCCCGCAGAGAGCCCCAGGGCAGUAAAACGGCCUUCGCUUCGCAGAGUGAGGAGGCCAGGUGGGGGAGAGGUGGUGGGUGUGGACCAAACUCCCCGUGAGCAUUUCGCUGUACAGACGUGUAGCCAAGGAUCGUGCUCAACACCUUAAGCUCCCACAGCGUUCCACAUCAAUUGUAUCUCGAUAAAACUGGAAAAAAACAAAGUGUGAGUUGAGCAAGUAAAAAAAAAGAAAAGUAGUGAUUUUUGUUUUAAAUAAUCUUCAUUAUAAAAAAUACCAAAUAAGGAGGAGAUAGUGCACGGGCAGAAGACACGUGUCAGGAGAUGACAGUGGGCAGCUGUCCACUUUGUUCUGACUUCUAUAAUAGAAAGAACGACUUUCAAACCAUAAAGGCAGAUCAGAGACGGGUGAAGAGGAAAGGCAGCCGAGUACGGACGGACCGACAGACAGAGCUCACCUCGCUGUCCUAAAGCAGUUCAAAAUUUUACCCUGGACUCAGGGUUGGCAAACUUUUUUCUGCCAAGGUGAUAUUUCAGGCUUUGUGGGCCACGUGGCCUUGGCUGCAAUUACUCAACUCUGCGUUUGUAGAAUGAACGCGGCCACCAACAAUUUGGAAAUGAGUAGGUGUGGCUGUGUUCUAAUGAGACUUUAUUUAUAAAAAGCGGCAGCUAACCAGAUUUGAGCUGGCCUGUAGUUUGCAGAUCCCUGCACUGAAGCAAUGACAACCCCAGAAAAUGAAAAGACUCGCCUCCGAGGGUCCCUACAGGGAAGAGGGAGCCUCUGGACCCUGGAGAAAGCCGAAGACGAAAGGGGAGAUUCUGAAGGCUGCAGUCCGCUCGCCUUCACACUUGCUUCUGACGCACUUUCAGAACAAGUGAGCAGAUAAUCCUAUUCAGCAAGUGUUAUGCAAACACCCACGUCACACUGUCUAAGUUCUCGGUGGUAAACACAACACAGACGUGGUUUUUGCCCUCAGGGAAUUUUUGGUCUCAAAGAAGAGACCAGAGGAAAUGAAGUGACUGCAGGCGUUGGAGGUCCUGGAAGGGGAGGGAUGAGGGGAAUGGCGUCAGAAAGGGGAUCGAGCUUGGUUUCAGGGGUCAGGGGAGGCCUCCCUGGGAGAAUGGAGACUCACAGUUCGAGUGACUAGCCUGGAAAAGGGGACAGGCUGAGAAAACGUUCUGAACAAAAGGAGGGGAUUGUGCCAAAGCCCAGUGGCAGGGAGACUCCUCAGGCAGCGAGAUAAAUCGAAAAGGGUGCGACGGCCAGAGGACAGACGAAGAAGAACGGGCGGGGCCAGGCCAAGCAGCGGGCGAGAGGCCUUUCCCCGACACACACGAGGCUCGCAGUGCUGGCCGAAGUGGGGAUGAGGUGAUCGCGACCGCUCUUUGCUUUUGGUCAGCUCCUAGCGGCUCCUACGUCGUGGCCCCCUUUCCGGAUGCCCGCGAGCUGUUCUUCCUGCUUCCAGUCUCAGUUCCCUCAGCUCACUGCCUGGCAGACACAUCUCUAAAAUUCAAUCUGAUUGUAUCACACCCAGGCUUAAAACCUUCCGUGGAUGACCGCGGUCCUCAGGACUUUGGACUUUAACAAAGCAUUCAGUUCAGUCUUUCAUAAUGUCUCUGGGAGCAGUGGAGAUGAGCUAGUUCUUUAUUCACUGUCACCUCUCUGGUGUCGCAUGCGACCAAAGGGAGCCUAGGGGGUACAGCCGGAUGAAGAGGGCAAGAGGGAGGCCGCACUCGUCCUGAGCAGUGCGUGCUGCCGGCCCCCGUGGUCAAGCCUGGCUCUGGCCUCCUUGGCCUUUGAGCUAACCAAGACCCAGUGCUGUCUGAAGUCCUGCCGGGAGAAGACUGGCCACGGUUGUGCUGACCGCCAAGCAAUUCAGUUCCAGUGGAAAAUAGCAGAAGACUGGGACCCUGGCCCACAGAAAGUCCGCAGAGCGGCUCCUGCCCUUGUGGUGCUCUUAUAAGAACCCCAGAUCUGCCCACACCACUCCCCCAGGCCCUCCAGCCGUCCUCACAACAGCGUCCGAACCCCAGGCCACGGCUCACACGGUCUGAUUCUUGCCCUCUCUCCAACCUCGCCGCUUACACUCACUCUGAUGUUUACUUCUUGAGGGUAGAAACCUUUUCUUGUGCCCCGCUGCACCUGCAGUGUUGGUAACGGAGCUUGGCAUACACACUCGUAACUGUUGAGUAAAUGAAUCCAGACUGGGCUUCCAAAGAGCUGGCCUGAAUUCACACAAUGGAACCUCUCAUCACUAAAUUCUUCAGAAUCAUCUUUUUAGAAACCCCAUCCGUGUAGCCCCUGAUGCUUUGGAAAUACAAAGCCGUGGUUUGAUGAGUGAGAGGACAGCUGGAGAAGUGAAGGGUAGUGCCGUGUCCAGUUCAGACUCCUUGGGGGAACUGGGCUGGGAGGAUGGAAUGACCCAAGUUGGACUCUGCCCAGCACGCCAGGCUUAAGUUAUUGGGUAAGAGUACAUUAGAAAACUGAAUUUUGGCAGCUGACAAAAUAUUCUCUUUAUGUGGAAGUCAGUGCCCGUGGAUUUAGUUUCUUCUAAAGGCUGGCUUUCUCUGUCAGGGGCAAGAGAUGAUGCUGUGAAGGAGCCAGGAUUUUGCAAUGACAGCAGCAGCACCAGGAAACCCGUGGGUGGUUGUGCAGGGCCCACUUCUCAGCACCCGUUAGAGCCGGGAUGUGAUGGACCAGAUCUGCCUUUUGUUUUGCCAAUAUUUGGUCUCUCCAUUUGGAGACUCACCACCCAUGAUCGUAGCUGACUGUAUUCCAACAUCCAUGAGCCUUGGCACCCGAAUCAGAUACCUGUGGACAAAAAGAAGCCAGUUAGUCAUUCCUUUCUUCUUCCCCUCUUCUUCCUCCACUAUUUAACUCUCCCACAUUGUCAGCGAGUGAGUCAAGUGUUCAACAUGGUUUCCACGGAGGCUGACUUUGGAAAAACCAGUCCAGUCCCUUAGACUGUUUCUCAGAGAGUUCAUCACGACAUUCUGGGAUGCUGAAAAGGUCUUUUCUGUGUCAAGCCGUCCGGGGGGAGCUUACACCCUUUUGCCCACGUUUGGAAAAACAGAUGGAGGCCAGGGUGCUCACACAGCAGGAUGGGAGGGAGAGCGUGGCAGGGUGUAGGCGUGGAUGUGGGGAGUGCAGGGUGUGGAUGGGAUGGAAGGUAGGCUGCCAGGGAGCAGUGAGAGGCCUCCUCGUCGGAACUGCUCCAUGUUCCAGCAAGCCCCUAAAGCUGAGAAGGAAUUGAAACAGGGGAGGCCUUCCCUGAGGUAUUUAUAUUCUUUGCUAACAAGGUCAGAAAUAAUCACCUUUACUGUGAAUCCAAAUAGAGUGUGUAAUGCCAGUCACGGUGGGGUUUGGGGGAAACCGCCCCCGGGUGCCUCCCCCCGAGCCUGGUCUGGUGCCCACAACCCCUGCUCCCACCCUUCUGUGUGUGGAAGUCCUGAGAGAAUGCUGGUAUCCCAUGUGGGGGGGGGGGCAGUGGGCAGGAAUGGGGUUGGUUUACCCAGCUGUCAGCUAAGAAUGCAAGCGGUUUUGGCUAGGAAGUUUGGAACGGGGCUGGGGAGGCGAGGUGCUGUCACGCUGGAGAGCUCUGGGCGGCAAGAACAGCGAUGAAGACACCUGUUUGGGGCCGGCGAGGUGCAUCGGAAGACGAGUGGCAACAUGUGUGAGCGACAGCGUGGCCAUGGCCCGCCUCCCCCAUUCCGGCCUCGUACAAGGGUGUCUCCUGCGGCCACUCUGAUGGGAAACGUGCAGGGAAGGGAGCUGCGGGAAAUGGAGUUCAGCCUCCCCACGCUGCCCUUAUCAAGCCACCACUCCAGGUCAGCUGCUUCCAGGCCCUGAGGCCUUUCCGUGUCACCACCUCACCCCCCUCCAAAGAGCCUUUUAAGUUGUUUGUUCACUCGUCCUGUUCCAGCCUGCUUUGAGUGUUGGCGGCACAGGCCUCGAGCAGGGCUGGCUAGGGCGGCAGGCAGCGUGGAGGGGAAAGGCUUGCAGGUCAGCGUCUUCUAGAGGAGACCCCACACGAGGUUCAGCUCCAGCUGCAAAGGACAAGGGUCUCAGCCUUGGGGUGUGCGCCCCCGGGAGGGGCAUUUUGCUUCUCAUUGCCCCUAGCCCUCCAGUGCCGCCCCCUCACACAGCCAGCCGCCAGCUCCAGGGGCGCAACCUCUGUCCUGCACAAAGCGGCCUGACCAAGCAGGAGGGCUGCGAGUGGGCCACAGGACAGCCCUGCUUCCCUCGCCAGGCGUCAGCCUUGAAGAAUGAAAGAUGUUUCCAAUCCAAGGUUCUGGAGGAGGCAUCUUUUUAUAGUUUGUCCAACCACUGGACGUGUAGCUCUGCCCUUUGAAUCAGCUGCCGACAGCUGCCUCACAAUUUUUUCUUCCUUUUCAUUUGGGAAAGACAAGCCAGGGCAGUCUGCCUGGACUUCACAGAUUGCUCUCCGGCGAGCUCAGCUCCGGGUCUUCCUGUCUGGAGCCUGAGUGCUCCUCCACGUGAGGAAAGCGGGCGCUGAGAGGAGGAAAGUCCUCCGAAAGCAUUAGCGCAGGGCGCCUUCACCAUGGUUUGGAAGGGUUACUCUUUUUCUUUUUGAGGGUCAGCAAGGCAUUUCAAUGAGAAACUGAGCUUGACAGAGGGGGAUUUUGGGUGUGUGCAUGUGUGUGUGUGUCUGUAUGUGUGCGUUUCAAAAAGGAGGCAAUCCAAGCACAUUUGGAAAGAACCAGUUUCCCGUCAGGGUGGAAGGCUGACUGUCGACUGGCUUUGGCUACAUCCAGCCCGCGAGCGCAUAACAAGGACUUGCCUCAUCAGGACGCCCUGACAGAUUCACAUCGACUCAGGGUGCUUCUUUGUUUCCUGCUGCCUGUCGUGGCUCAGUUCCGUCUGCAUUAGCACCCCCGGCCUUUUACUCCGAUGACCCUCGAGCUUCUGCUUUGAUCCUCACUGCCUGGCACGCUCCUCGUGGUGCUAUUGUGGGAUGGCUGGGUGGAGGUGAUUUUGGACUCUUCUUCCAGUUUCCUUUUCAGCAGCCAGUGAAACGCUGGAGGCAUGUAAUACUUGUGAUUAAAAUCGCGGUGCAAAGCACAACUGGCCCACCACUGAUUCUGCUAAGAAUCCAAAAAAAAGAGGUGAACCAGUUGGCUGAAGUGCACAUACACAUUGUCUUAGAGGCUCUGAUGUAGACAGCAUGAAUCUUCAUUAUGUGGUGGGCACUUUGGGCUACUUAGCGGCCAGGCCUGCCCUGCAUAUACCUACAUCUGCAGACCCAACUCAGAGCAAACCUGUACCACCUAGGAAAUCUGUGUUUGUGUUCCUGGAUCCUCACUGAUUCUCUCUUACCUGCAUCCCUUUCUCUCCUCUCUAGAACUUCAUCAUUCUUAACUAUUUUUUGCAGCAUGGAAUAAUGCAAACAAUAAUAGUUAAUGUGUGUCACUUACUGGGCAUGUAGAAGCCAUUGUACUGAGCACUUUACAUGAAUUGAAUAAUAUUAUCCAAUAAAUAUUUACAUAGGACGUAUUUUAUAUUAGAAAAGUUUCCAGGUGCUGGGGGUGCAGAAUAAAGCAGACAAAAAUCCCUUCCUUCAGGGAAUGUACAUUCCAGAGAGAGAUAAAGAGAAUUGAAAGAGUAAAAUACAUGAUAUAAAGAUGAUGAUAAAUGCAUUGGAGAAAAAUAACAAGAGGCAAGGUGCUGGGAAGCACUGGUGAGGGUGGAGGAGGCGGACGGCCGCACCACAGCUGAGCCACGUGCCACCUCUGUGAGACAGCUAGCGCCGCUGCCCUCAGCUCACCGACGACGAAACCGAGGCUUCCACUGUCAAAACGCUUCCUCAAGAAUAAGUCUAUCAGCCAUUCUUAUGCCCGAGUCCACCUCUCCCAGAAGCAUUUGCUGUGACUUGCUUCCUAGCUGGAGAAGGCAAAGCAGCUGCACACAGGUAAGGAAUUACAUCACCAGUGGGUGUGCCGGAAGUGCGAGGGAGAGGAAAGGCCAUGCUGCUUGUGGCUCAGACGUCCCCAGUGGCCCCGUCAGCCUGUGGCUCAUACGUCCCCAGUGGCCCUGUCAGCUUGCUUACCUGGGCUCCCUCUGAGCUAGAACAGCCCUCUGCAUGAUGCUAGGCAGGGUUCCACAGCCACAGAAAAGACUUUCAAAAAAUCUCAGCCAGUUUUUAAAAAUAGACUUCAUGUUUUAGAGCAAUUUUAGGUUCGCAGCAAAAUUGAAUGGAAAGUACAGAGAGUUCCCACACCCCCCCCCCAACUGUCGACAUCCGGCUGGUCUCUUUUUUUACAAAGGGAACUUCUUUCCCUCCCUGUUGCUUUCUCCUGAAUUAAGUCUGGGCUGCAGAUUCAAAUACUCAAAUACUAUCGCUCACUGGACGCUGACGCCCCUCACGCACACCUGCGCGGCCUGCCGUUCUCUUUUGCACGGAAGACCCACUGCCCGCAGAGCAGGACAGGACUCACAGGAAACUUGGACGGACAGAUGGCUGGGUUCCUGAGUGCCUGCAGGGCUGUGAGCUGCUGCAGGUCUGAGGCCAUCUCUGCCUCGCAGCCCUGUCAUUUUAAGCAACCUUCUUCUCCUGGCCAAGACUUGCCCAAAGCCUCCUAAUUGAAUGUGGAGCCGUGACAAGUUCUCGCUGGCCACCAUGUGCUGAGUCACAGUUCGUGUCGUUCCUCACUGGCCCCACUGCCUUUGGGGCUGAUGCGCUCGCCCCGGGGCCGAGAGGAAGCAGCGGCCGGCCAGACAGCCACACCUUCGGACAGAGCCGCAUCUGAGAGGGCUUCCGGUGAAAACGGGUCAUCAGCUAGGCGGGUGGGAGAGGCACGGGGUGGGGCUGGGGGUGACAUCACCCCGAUCUUUCCUGCCGGAUUUGACAGAGCUUGACUUUUGAGGGAAAAGGAGGUGAAGUCAUUGAUGAGCUUUCUCCACUGAGGAGUCAGGGGACGAGGUCACAUCUGGGUUUGUCUUCAAACCCGGAGAGGAAUGAGCUCAUGCUGCUGUUUCCCUUAUUCUGCGUCCAGGAGUGAGGGGAGGGGCAUGCUGUGUGAGGGUGUGCCUUGUGCGAGAGGCUGGGGAGGUCUGGAAGCUCUUGUGCCUCCAAAGGCAAGUCUGUCUUCUUCCCUGAAGAGCUUGCAUUUCUCUGGGAGCAGCCCUCCCAGGGCAGCACAGUGCUGGGCAAGGCCUAAGUUCUGCUCAGGAUGUUAGAGCAGGCAGACCGCUAGAUGUGAGCAGAGAAAGGGGAUCCCAGGCCAAAUGGCAGAAAGUGGGCAAAAAGGACAGAGGCACAGGGCCAAAUGCAGGAAACCCCGCAUCAUGCAAACAACAGGGGCCCCUGGGCGACAGAGAGAAGCAGGAACCUCGGGACUGGUGGCAAGUAACACAUUUUGGGGUGACAAGUGCCCUGGAGGCCGGCAAAGAAAGGUGGGAAGAGGCAGGGAUCUCCAGUGUCUGAAUGUAACCUUUGGCUCAUUAUGCCCUCAUUUCAAUAAAAUUGGCCUUGCAGAUGAGAAUUGCCCAUCAUGCACUGAAGCCGUGACACUUCCGAUCCAGACUAAAUAAGGACAAAAAUCCCUCCUCCCUUCAGGAAGGUGGAGCUGGGAUGAAAAUCAGCGAAUACGACCCCAAACCCUUCCCUCCCCAGUGAAUAUUCCGCCCACGCAUUUCUACAAUCUGUGUAGCCAACCUGCCAGAGAAACUCAGGGCAGCCGCUC